rnacentral:rRNA from 1 species
AAAUUGAAGAGUUUGAUCAUGGCUCAGAUUGAACGCUGGCGGCAGGCCUAACACAUGCAAGUCGAACGGUAACAGGAAUCAGCUUGCUGAUUCGCUGACGAGUGGCGGACGGGUGAGUAAUGUCUGGGAAACUGCCUGAUGGAGGGGGAUAACUACUGGAAACGGUAGCUAAUACCGCAUAACGUCGCAAGACCAAAGAGGGGGACCUUAGGGCCUCUUGCCAUCGGAUGUGCCCAGAUGGGAUUAGCUAGUAGGUGGGGUAACGGCUCACCUAGGCGACGAUCCCUAGCUGGUCUGAGAGGAUGACCAGCCACACUGGAACUGAGACACGGUCCAGACUCCUACGGGAGGCAGCAGUGGGGAAUAUUGCACAAUGGGCGCAAGCCUGAUGCAGCCAUGCCGCGUGUAUGAAGAAGGCCUUCGGGUUGUAAAGUACUUUCAGCGGGGAGGAAGGGAGUAAAGUUAAUACCUUUGCUCAUUGACGUUACCCGCAGAAGAAGCACCGGCUAACUCCGUGCCAGCAGCCGCGGUAAUACGGAGGGUGCAAGCGUUAAUCGGAAUUACUGGGCGUAAAGCGCACGCAGGCGGUUUGUUAAGUCAGAUGUGAAAUCCCCGGGCUCAACCUGGGAACUGCAUCUGAUACUGGCAAGCUUGAGUCUCGUAGAGGGGGGUAGAAUUCCAGGUGUAGCGGUGAAAUGCGUAGAGAUCUGGAGGAAUACCGGUGGCGAAGGCGGCCCCCUGGACGAAGACUGACGCUCAGGUGCGAAAGCGUGGGGAGCAAACAGGAUUAGAUACCCUGGUAGUCCACGCCGUAAACGAUGUCGACUUGGAGGUUGUGCCCUUGAGGCGUGGCUUCCGGAGCUAACGCGUUAAGUCGACCGCCUGGGGAGUACGGCCGCAAGGUUAAAACUCAAAUGAAUUGACGGGGGCCCGCACAAGCGGUGGAGCAUGUGGUUUAAUUCGAUGCAACGCGAAGAACCUUACCUGGUCUUGACAUCCACGGAAGUUUUCAGAGAUGAGAAUGUGCCUUCGGGAACCGUGAGACAGGUGCUGCAUGGCUGUCGUCAGCUCGUGUUGUGAAAUGUUGGGUUAAGUCCCGCAACGAGCGCAACCCUUAUCCUUUGUUGCCAGCGGUCCGGCCGGGAACUCAAAGGAGACUGCCAGUGAUAAACUGGAGGAAGGUGGGGAUGACGUCAAGUCAUCAUGGCCCUUACGACCAGGGCUACACACGUGCUACAAUGGCGCAUACAAAGAGAAGCGACCUCGCGAGAGCAAGCGGACCUCAUAAAGUGCGUCGUAGUCCGGAUUGGAGUCUGCAACUCGACUCCAUGAAGUCGGAAUCGCUAGUAAUCGUGGAUCAGAAUGCCACGGUGAAUACGUUCCCGGGCCUUGUACACACCGCCCGUCACACCAUGGGAGUGGGUUGCAAAAGAAGUAGGUAGCUUAACCUUCGGGAGGGCGCUUACCACUUUGUGAUUCAUGACUGGGGUGAAGUCGUAACAAGGUAACCGUAGGGGAACCUGCGGUUGGAUCACCUCCUUACCUUAAAGAAGC